GCCCGGCUGGCUCAAUGGUAGAGCAUCAGACUUCUAUUUUUCUCUUCUAUUUCCUGCCGUAGGUAGUGGAUGGAUUCGUAAAGUGAAUCUGAAGGUUGUGGGUUCGAGUCCCACGUCGGGUG